AAUUUAAAGUCUAUUUUCUCCUCUAGAUAGUGUUACGUAUUUUAUGUUUUUCUUCUCAUUAAAAUUCACUUAUGGCUUUAGUCACGGGCGGACUCUUGAGGAUGGGAAGCAUCUAUUUGGACACAAACCAUUCACUGCGCUUGAAUAGAAGAAAAUUACUAGGCACCAGCCGCUGUGAUUGGCUGUGUCUAAUUGUACUGUGUCCAAAUGGAUGCUUCCCUUUGAGGACUAUAAUUCCGUAUUAAUAAAAGUCUAUGUUUUACUGUUUUGUAUUAAGUAUAUUUCUUUCUGCAAUUUCUCAUCUGCAUCUCUUGCUGAGCUCCAACAGGUUAUGGGCCCAGUUACCGUAUAAGAGAAGAGAGGAGUGAAUUAAUUUAUACAGAAGAGAACAGAGAAAUCAAAGAGGCCGAGUGCAAACAUUUUCUUUUUAAGACUGUGUAAGAAAACUUUGUGUGUGAUAGUGAUUCACGGAACAAAACCAGCUUAAGAUGACAAAAGAAUUAGAAACCUUGCACAUGACGAAAUUUGAUGAGUGAAACUAUCAACAAUGAAAGUUUUAGUUGAUGUGUGCUCUAUAUGCAAAGGAAGUAAGCGACAUAGUAAAAAGAAUUUUGCUGAAAUUACAGACACAACAAGACAACAAACUAAAGAAUUGGAUCAAAAAGGACGCCGCUGCCAUAAUACUUUUUGCUAUGAAAUUUUUAUAAGUAAUGUUGUUACAGAAUUAUGCGAGCUUGAAAGAAAUUCUAGAUGAUUUAAGCUGGAUUUGAUUUACGAAAAACAGAAUUAAACAAAAUGCUUGUGCACGAAAAGUUCAAUACAGGAUAGAAAAGAGUGAUUCAAUCUUGCAACACAUAGCUAAAGUCUAAAAUUUUGUCUGCAAAAUACAAAACAAAGGAGAACCAAUUAGCGGGAGUGUCAGUAUGACGAAGAUACUGGGAAGUUUUUUAAUCAAAUACACUUUGGCAGUGGGGCUCUCUAAUUAGACAAAGACAAAAAGAAGAAUCCCAGAAAAAGUCAAUUAAAACCCACAGUAACGUGUCUCAACUGCGGACAGAAAGUACAUUUUGCGGAAAACUAUCGUCCAAAAAAAAAA
rnacentral:lncRNA from 13 species